GUAAACGAUGGAUACUCGCUGUCGGCGAUAGACAGUCGGCGGCCAAGCGAAAGCAUUAAGUAUCCCACCUGGGGAGUACGCCGGCAACGGUGAAACUCAAAGGAAUUGACGGGGGCCCGCACAAGCGGAGGAACAUGUGGUUUAAUUCGAUGAUACGCGAGGAACCUUACCCGGGCUUGAACUGGAACAGACGAAUUUGGAGACAGAUUUUCUUAGCAAUAAGAUGUUUCAGAGGUGCUGCAUGGUUGUCGUCAGCUCGUGCCGUGAGGUGUCGGCUUAAGUGCCAUAACGAGCGCAACCCUUGCUGUCAGUUGCCAUCAGGUAAAGCUGGGCACUCUGGCGGGACUGCCAUCGUAAGAUGUGAGGAAGGUGGGGAUGACGUCAAAUCAGCACGGCCCUUAUGUCCGGGGCUACACACGUGUUACAAUGGGGGGUACAGCAGGCAGCUACCGCGCGAGCGGAUGCCAAUCCUUUAAACCCCUUCUCAGUUCGGAU
rnacentral:rRNA from 1 species